rnacentral:rRNA from 1 species
UAGGGAAUAUUGGGCAAUGGCCGAGAGGCUGACCCAGCCAUGCCGCGUGCAGGAAGAAGGCCUUCUGGGUUGUAAACUGCUUUUAUCUGGGAAGAAAACGCCCCUGCGGGGGUAACUGACGGUACCAGAUGAAUAAGCACCGGCUAACUCCGUGCCAGCAGCCGCGGUAAUACGGAGGGUGCAAGCGUUGUCCGGAUUUAUUGGGUUUAAAGGGUGCGUAGGCGGCCCGCUAAGUCUGUGGUGAAAUCCCGGGGCUCAACCCCGGAACUGCCCUGGAUACUGGCGGGCUUGAGUUCGGUUAAGGCGGGCGGAACUGGCGGUGUAGCGGUGAAAUGCAUAGAUACCGCCAAGAACCCCGAUUGCGUAGGCAGCUCGCUGAGCCGAAACUGACGCUGAGGCACGAAAGCGUGGGGAGCGAACAGG